rnacentral:rRNA from 1 species
CAUACCAAGAGAAGAAAUAGGCUCACAACGGAGCGAUGCAACAAUUUGGUCUUCAUAAGGUUCAACAAUAGGAUGUUGUCUAGGAAACAAAAGCUCCUAGAGAAGAAGAAAUGGGAUGUGCUCAUUAGCACCGAUGCUACCGAAGCUCAAGGAUUUCUAUUUGAAGGAGGGGAUGAUUAUGCAAGCGUUGUUUAUCUUGAUGAGGAGGAUGGAGAUGUUCAUCCGGGUACGGGGAUAUCAUGGGAUCUACUUGGUGAAGCAAUGGGAGCACAAGAGCAACUCCAACUUCGGAGGAGUGCAAGAGUGAGAGACCUUGAGGAGGAGGAGUUUGAAUCCGAUCAUGAUGAUGAGGAGAUAGUGGAUGAAGAUGAGAUUGAGUAUGAGGAUGAUUGA